CAAGUCCAACUAUAACCUAUCUUGUGCACAAUAUUCGACACAACUCUAACAAUUUAUGUAUUUAAAAAGGUAUUUUAUGGAUAGAGAUCUGUUGUACACCUCGACAUUUAUAUGUGCUUGAUAUUUCACCAGCAGAUUUCUGUUGUAUGGGACUACGUAUCUGUUAUCCAACUUUACUUCCCCUUUCUGUAUGAAUCUUCCAUCGUCUCGUCUUCUAUAUACUGGGUAUCCAUCUUCAUCGACAGUGGUAUUGUUGUUGUAUUUUUUUGGGAACUUUCUUAUGCAUCUGCUGUCGACCAUGCAUGGUGACUUUGUGUUUGCUGCACCACAUGGCCCGUGCAUCAUGUAGUUUUCCACAACUGCAUAUCCUUCCGGGUCAAUUUCCUUGUCUGGUAUCUCUGCGCAAGUUACUCUAUCUACCUCUGAUGGCUCUGGAUACUUGUGUUUCUUUUCCUUUUUGUCGAGGAAUAUGACUAUGUGGGCAUGUGGGAGGUCCCUUUUUUGAAACUCUAUUGUGUAUAUAACUGCAAUUUUAUAAAAUAACAGUUAGUUCAGGCAGUUAAAUAAGAUGUUUGAUAAAGUCAGGAUGAUAUAUUACUUGCCAGUGUUUUUCCAAAGUAUUCCCUUUCUCUUAUAUCUCUCAUGAACUCCUUGAGCUUUAUGUGGAAUACUCGAUCAACAAUAUCAGGCCUUUCGUAUGCUGUUUGGGCUACUUCGUGUAGCAUAGCCUCAAUCUCCGGCCAAGCUGCGUUGCACGUGAAUGUCACAAAUAGGUCUGGGUAUCCAGCCCACCGACAUAUUGCCAUAGCAUCUUGGAAGUUUUGUGCUUUGUAUCUAGGGCUAUCUGUGACAGUGGAUGGCAGAAGUAUCCUUUUCCUACUUGGUCAGCCCUUGUAUCUCCUCUUUCUAUUGCAUCCUGUAAGCCAGCAUAUAAUUCCGUUCUUAGGUUUCCUUGAUGAUUUUUGAUCCAGUCCAGUCUGUACUGCAAAAUGCAUGCAAGGGCAUCCACAAUGAACUGCAAUGUAAGCUUUUCACACAUCAGCAAGUGCAUCGAUUGGUUAGUACUCCCUCCGUCCCAAAAUUCUUGUCUUAGAUUUGUAUAGAUACGGAUGUAUCAAGUCACGUUUUAGUAUUAGAUACAUCCGUAUCUAGACAAAUCUAAGACAAGAAUUUUGGGACGGAGGGAGUACGUUGUUGUAGACGAUAUGCAUAGUAUUCCAACAUUGUUACAUGCUUUCUCUUACAUUUUCCACCUUGUUUUAAUAUGUAAGGUAUAUUUUGUCUGUACCCAUCUUCUCCAUAGGGGAAUAAUAGUGGAUACUGCAUAGCCAUGAAUUUUGGAUGGUUCUCUGAUAUUCUUCUUGGCUUCAUGUUUUUGUACUCAACAAUGAUGUCCCGUCCUUUUCUACUUUCCGUGGCAUCAUUGACAAUCAAGGCUGCAACUUCCCUUGCAGAUGGCAUGUCACUUCGUCUUCCAUCUGAUUGUCGCUUAUUGAUUAGUUAUAAUCUCACGUUUUGAUAGUCACCUUCUUCGAAUCUGUCCCUUGCCAUUCUGAAAGUUUUUGCAAGUAUGUUAUCUCGAUCAAACAUAUUUUUAAGGCCCUCUACGAUGUGAGGAUCUAUUGACUCCCUUUUAUCUUUCCUUGUCGAAGCAUUAAUCCUGUUUCUUACCUCAUUUUCAGUGUCAUAGAUGUACAGUUGUGCCCAACGUGGUUUAUCUUUACCUUCAGGCAAUAGAGUACCUAUUCUGUGGUAGUUCUGCCCAUUCAUUCUAAAAACAUAUGGCCCACUGCCAUUGUUUAUUUCUUUGUCUACUUUUCCUCCCAUUGUUGUGAAAGCGAACAUGGAGUUGUACAAUCUGAUAUUCUGCAAGCAGUGUUUUGACGUCUUUCCGUUGUCUUUCCUUAGCAAUUUCGCUAGGUAAGUCGGUGGCUCUCUUAAUGGUGGCAACUCAACCUUGCCAUGUUGGCAGCAUAGUCCAAAAGAUGGCAUGCUUUUCGCUCUACCUGAAGUUCUUUCUUCGUACCAGAAAAUUGCACCGCAUCGUUCACACUUGCAUUUGGGUUUUCCAAAGUUCCAAAUUUCCGUAUCAGUCCUCUUGUCUGUUCAAGUUUUGGAUUUAGCAUAAAUUGAAAUAUUAUUAAUGUCUGGUGUUGUUGAUACUAUAAAAUGUUGAUAUAACUUACAAAUGUUGUCUUUGUUUCUUUCUCACCGAUUUCGAUGUAGUAGACAUUUUAUUACUUUUUGAGCUGUACACGUACAUAGCAGAAAAUAUCAGAUUUAUGAAACUCCAAAUUUUAGAGCUUGAUUGUAAUUUCUUGUUCGUUACCUCAUAGUAUUACCAGCCUGACCAAUCAUUUCUCCUUCUUUUGUCGAUGGUUGUGCAAGCCUCUUGGUUUGCAUUAUUCUUUUCCUAUGUAGUCUUGCCUCUUUGCUUUUUCUGUUCAGUUACUUGCCCUGCAUAAACAUAAAUACUAAUUAGUAGAAAUAACAGAUUAUUUUUUGUCUAGCAGAAUGAAUUUAUUACUCCUUGUGUUACUUUAACAUUUUUUUGCGUUGGCUAUAGUUCAUUGAUACGUGUAUCAUUUUUUUGAGAUUUGAUGGACCAUUCUAAAUUAGUUGCGCUUGAAGAUUUCAGCACAUAAAUAGCAGAGUAGAUGUGGAUAGCAUAAGAAAGGUACAUAAUGUUUCUUGCUGUAUGAUGUAAUACCAGACGUGCAUCAUUAAUGUUGAAUUUUAGCAUUUGAAUUGAGAAUUAUAAUUAAACCAAAUGGAUGAUAAGAUGCAUAACAGCAUAAGAGUGAAAGUUCGUGAAGAUUUUCUUACUUCACAUGGAGCAAAGGUUGUCCUUUGUGUGUGUCCGCGGAGUCUGGCAGACCUCCAUGUAUCAUUGAAGAUUGUCUGUUUUUCUUCUCUUGAAGUUUCAUUACCCUUUCCAAUCUUGCGAUCUUUGCUGAUUGUCUGGAUUUGCAUCAAUAAGAUAAAAAUUUAAAAUAUAGUUUUUCUCGUGGAAGCUACAAUCAAUUAGGAACCUCAGCGAGCCUAACUGGAAUUGCUUUGUUUUUAAAAAUUACUGGUAUAGCACAUAUAAAAUAUUCAAUAUUAGUAAUGGAUCACCUUGUUGGAGUGCAUAUUUGAUUUGUUUUAACGACCUUGGCAGGUUUCUCACGUUCCUUGCUAUGUGGCCCACCUUUUCUUUUCAUGUUGUCUUCCUGCAUAAUGGAGAGUUCAAAUGUAAACCUAAGUGAAUGAUAUAAUAAUAUUGUUACAGAGAAAUCGUGGUUUGGUUGGGCUAUGGACGACGAUUAAGAUUUAUGUGCUUGUUGUACAGGGGAGUACAUUGCGCUGGCACUUGAGACUUUGGUCGUCCGCCCCGCUUGUCACAAUGGUAUAAAACAAAUUUAUGAAGAUUCACUAUUUUUAUUACCUUUCAUCACCUUAUAAAAUAAAUUUUUGGUCGUAUAAUUAAAGGAGAUAGAUUUUCAAGACCAGUGAUUUUGCAGAAAUAUUUACUGAUAAAGAGGAUUUUAUGUUCCAAUCUCUUUGUGGUACAUAAAUAUUGUGAGUAUUUCUUAGUACAAGCUGACCGAAGCAAUCUAUACCUGAUUAAUGAGGUUUCUUUUUGGACAAAUUUAAUGAGGUAGUGAUGCUAAAUAUUACGGGAACCCUCAUCUGAUCUAUAAACUGCAAGUGAAUUCCAUACUGCAGUGCCCUGUGCUUCUUAAUUGACUUUAGCCCUAUGGGAGCCGCCACACAGCCCCAAAAUAUAGUAGAGUAGCACGCUAGAAUAAGAUUGUAACUGAGGAUUAAGAGAGAGGGAGAAGAAUCAUACCUGAAUUUAGAAGUUGUUUGACUGUGUUGUCGUACCUUGAACUGAAAGCGUAUGUUUUGUCGAUUUUGUUGGUGUUCCUGAGAAGAGAUUGAGUUUUAGGUCUAUUUGUGCCACGGCAGUUGUUUAUAUAGGCAUGUCUCUUCUUUUUUUAACCUAGUUCUGUACAAUCUCUUAGUGGUUGUUUGGAUAUCCAGAAUUAGCCACGAGUUUACGGAAAACUAGUUUUUAGCAGAAUUUUAGCAAAACCAGUUUUACAAAGAAAUCUGUUACUAAUUAGCGUACGGAAAACUUUGUUUGGGCUAGCAAAAAGUCUGUCCAUGGCCUUCGUUUGGACAGCGAUGCCAAUUUGGCUAGACGAGAAGAAAUCAACACUUCGGCGACGGUGUUCCUUCUGCCUAGGUACCAGCGGCACAGCGGCCUGCUCAUCCGCAUCAGUGAUGGAACGGCUCCAUGCCCAAAUUUCUGGCGCGGCUCAGGCGGCAUCCACAGCGCCAAGUCGCUGCACCUACGGCCACGACCCUUCCUGCAGUGCUAGUACUGCAGUUCCAUGGGCCAUGGCUACCCGCGAACACGCCCACGCCCACGACGGAGGUGUCGGGCAACUCCGGCAACGUGUGGCCCCGGCGACGCAUCGAACGGCAGCAAAACGGAGCGGCCAAUGGCAGUGAAGGCAUAGUGGAGCCGCGUUGCUUUCUUCUUGGGUUGUACAUCACCUCCCGACGCCGGCGAUCUCCUAGGUUGCUUCCCACCGCGAGCUCUGAUUCCUCGCCAACCCGGCUUCUCCUCAGUGAUGGGGUUUAUAUAAUCCUGUUUUGAGAAAAACAAGUAUUAGUCGUUUUUCACAAAACGCAGUUUCCUAGUUUUGUGGAAACUGAAUCGUGCUUAUCCACGUUUUUGUUGGCGCUACCAAACAUGGUUUUAGUUUGUUAGGCGGUUAUUUGAGUUGACGCAAAACUAGUAUUGAUAAAACGAUAUAUCCAAACAAGGUAUUCUUGUUACGUGUGUUUAGGUACUGGACUCUAAUCCAACGUGCUUUUAAAUUGGGCCAUCCUGGACUUAGCAGCGUGGAAGUGUUGUUUCAUGGGUUUUUUUGGCCCACAUGUCUAUGUCGAGUCACAUCAGUCCUUGUUGUUUCCCCAGAAACCAACGUAACAUGCACCAUCUCUCUCUCUCUCUCUCUUCUCUAAAAUACAACUAUUUCCAAUCCAUAACCUCUUAGGUCAUAAUCUAUACUUUACCAGCGCCAAGGUUUUUGAGUCGCGACUUGGCGAGUCGCCGCGAGCCCUGCGGCUCAGCGUAUAGUCGACGAAAGUCGCUGUAUAGUCGCCAUAAGUCGCUAUAUAGUUACGAGUCGCCCUGAUUUUUGAAAAACGACUUGGCGAUUAGUCGGCGACUAUACAGCGACUAAUCAGCGACUCAAAAACCAUGACCAGCGCAUCUUGUGCGUCACCAUGCGGUGUGUGUCUUUGAAUUCAGCUUGUUCAAAAUAGCAAAUGGAGAUGGAGAAGCGACCAAUGGCAUGGUUCAUAUGAUGAUGUUCACGAUUUCUACAUGGCCUAGCAUCCAAGCCAACAACCAUUUAGAAGUAUUACAGUCAUCGCUAAUAGUUUUCCUUUAGUCUUUUUUAUACUCCUCCAUCCCAAAAUAAGUGUCUCAACUUCAGUACAACUUUGUACAUCUGUUGGUACAAAGUUGACACUUAUUUUGAGACGGAGGGAGUAGUGAGUUGUUUUAUUUAUUUAUUUGAUUUGGACAGGUGAUAUCAUGACUAUGACAUGAAGAGUAAGAGAGGCAUUUGUCAAUCUUGAGGUGUUUUUUCGGGAACGUUUGUGUUCCAAGCAUGCUAUGGAUCUACAUAUCCAGUUGGAUGGAGCUGAUGCCAUGACUACAGAAACCCACUAUAACAUCUGAGGCUGAUCAAAUAUGGAAACCAUCUAUAUGAAACUUACUUGAUGGAGAUCGUUUUCUCGACGGAACUGUCUUGUCGCCGCUGGAGGAAGACAAUUCCUGUUUGCUCGACAGAACUGUUUUGUGGUUGCUAUAUGAAGAUAAUUCUGGAGUGGAAGUUUUGGUCACUGGAAGAAGAUGAUGUGGGAGGAAGAUGUUGCAACCUUUCAUGCCGUGGGGAAGGUCUUAUAUGGAUGGUUGAGUUUCUCUCAUCUGCACGAUUGAAAGAAAGUUUUUUUGUACGCAGCCUGUAAAGAUAUUUCGUUGGAGUCCUUUUUUUUAGAAACGUACAAAUAUGGUAGUUCUGAUUUGUUUCGGUACACCCCGUUUGUAGAUAGCACGAUCGAACGAAAGCUUUUUUGGUAGCAGCCUGGACAAAUAUUCUGUUUGGAGUAUUUUUUUUGAGGAACGAAGAGAUAUGGUAGUCUUGAUUUGUUUGGGUAAAUCCCGUUUGUACACAUGUUUUUCUAGAAACGAAGAGAUAUGGUACUUUUCAUUUG